GGUUGAUCCUGCCAGUAGUCAUAUGCUUGUCUUAAAGAUUAAGCCAUGCAUGUCUAAGUAUAAAUCUUAUACAGUGAAACUGCGAAUGGCUCAUUAAAACAGUUAUAGUUUAUUCGAUAAUUUUCCUACAUGGAUAACCGUAGUAAUUCUAGAGCUAAUACAUGCUGUCAAACCUGACUUCGCGGAAGGGUUGUAUUUAUUAGAUAUAACUAUCUCCGAUCCAAGGUGCGCGUGAUAAUUUAAAACAAAUUCUCUUAAUUGUUACAAUACUUUGUCUUUAUUAGAAACUUUU
rnacentral:rRNA from 1 species